rnacentral:rRNA from 1 species
GUGAACGCUGGCGGCAUGCCUAACACAUGCAAGUCGAACGGACUCUAUCAGUUCACCGGUAGAGUUAGUGGCAGACGGGUGAGUAAUACGUGGGCAAUCUGCCCUCGAGAAGGGGAUAACCUCGGGAAACCGGGGCUAAUACCGCAUAAGACCACGGCCGGACAUCCGGCUGAGGUCAAAGCUCCGCAAGGGGCGCUCGAGGAGGAGCCCACGGCCUAUCAGCUAGUUGGCGGGGGUAACGGCCCACCAAGGCUACGACGGGUAAGCGGUCUGAAAGGACGACCGCUCACAAUGGCACUGAGACACGGGCCAUACUCCUACGGGAGGCAGCAGUGGGGAAUUUUGCGCAAUGGGGGGAAACCCUGACGCAGCGAUGCCGCGUGGAGGACGAAGGUCUUCGGAUUGUAAACUCCUUUUGCGGGGGAAAAAUGGCGGCGUGAAUAACGCCGUUCGAUGGUACUCCGCGAAUAAGCCACGGCUAACUUCGUGCCAGCAGCCGCGGGGUAAGACGAAGGGGUGGCGAGCGUUACUCGGGAAUUACUAGGGCGUAAAGCGUGAGCAGGCGGUUCGGCAAGUCCGUUGUGAAAGCCCCGGGCUCAACCCGGGGAGGCCAAUGGAUACUGCCGGACUUGAAUACGGGAGAGGUUACUGGAAUUCCUGGUGUAGCGGUGAAUAAUGCGUAGAUAUCAGGAGGAACACCGAAGGCGAAAGCAGGUAACUGGACCGUUAUUGACGCUGAGUCACGAAAGCCGGGGGAGCAAACAGGAUUAGAUACCCUGGUAGUCCCGGCUGUAAACGAUGUUCACUAGGUGUGGGAGGUAUCAACCCCUUCCGCGCCAACGCUAACCGCAUUAAGUGAACCGCCUGGGAAGUACGGCCGCAAGGUUGAAACUCAAAGGAAUUGACGGGGGCCCGCACAAGCGGUGGAUCAUGUGGUUUAAUUCGACGCAACGCGAAGAACCUUACCUGGGCUUGAACUACCGGUAGUAGGCGCUUGGAAACAGGCGACGAACCGUUAAGUCGGUUGCCGGCAGAGGUGCUGCAUGGCUGCCGUCAGCUCGUGUCGUGAGAUGUUGGGUUAAGUCCCGCAACGAGCGCAACCCCCAUUCCGUGUUGCCACCCCCGCAAGGGGCGCACUCUCGGGAGACUGCCUCGGAUAACGGGGAGGAAGGUGGGGACGACGUCAAGUCAUCAUGGCCUUUAUGUCCAGGGCCACACACGUGAUACAAUGGCCGGUACAGAGGGAUGCAAUACCGCAAGGUGGAGCCAACCCCACAAAGCCGGCCCCAGUUCAGAUCGUGGGCUGCAAUUCGCCCACGUGAAGUCGGAAUCGCUAGUAAUCGCAGAUCAGCAGGCUGCGGUGAAUACGUUCCCGGGCCUUGUACACACCGCCCGUCACACCACGAAAGCCCGUUGCAACAGAAGUCCAGGCCUCGCCUGGCCCAAGUUGUGAUUGGUGAUUGGGGUG